GAUGAACGCUGGCGGCGUGCCUAAUACAUGCAAGUCGAGCGAACAGAUGAGGAGCUUGCUCCUCUGACGUUAGCGGCGGACGGGUGAGUAACACGUGGAUAACCUACCUAUAAGGCUGGGAUAACUUCGGGAAACCGGAGCUAAUACCGGAUAAUAUAUUGAACCGCAUGGUUCAAUAGUGAAAGACGGUUUUGCUGUCACUUAUAGAUGGAUCCGCGCCGCAUUAGCUAGUUGGUAAGGUAACGGCUUACCAAGGCGACGAUGCGUAGCCGACCUGAGAGGGUGAUCGGCCACACUGGAACUGAGACACGGUCCAGACUCCUACGGGAGGCAGCAGUAGGGAAUCUUCCGCAAUGGGCGAAAGCCUGACGGAGCAACGCCGCGUGAGUGAUGAAGGUCUUCGGAUCGUAAAACUCUGUUAUUAGGGAAGAACAAAUGUGUAAGUAACUAUGCACGUCUUGACGGUACCUAAUCAGAAAGCCACGGCUAACUACGUG
rnacentral:rRNA from 1 species